rfam:Ovis aries breed Texel chromosome 13, whole genome shotgun sequence.
UCCCUGGUGGUCCAGUGGUUAAGACUUUGCUUUCCAGUGCAGUGGCUUUGGGUUUAAUCCCUAGUCAGGGAA